AUUGAACGCUGGCGGCAGGCUUAACACAUGCAAGUCGAGCGGAGAUGAGGUGCUUGCACCUUAUCUUAGCGGCGGACGGGUGAGUAAUGCUUAGGAAUCUGCCUAUUAGUGGGGGACAACAUUCCGAAAGGAAUGCUAAUACCGCAUACGUCCUACGGGAGAAAGCAGGGGAUCUUCGGACCUUGCGCUAAUAGAUGAGCCUAAGUCGGAUUAGCUAGUUGGUGGGGUAAAGGCCUACCAAGGCGACGAUCUGUAGCGGGUCUGAGAGGAUGAACCGCCACAAUGGGACUGGGACACGGGCCAGACUCCGACGGGAGGCAGCAGUGGGGAAUAUUGGACAAUGGGGGAAACCCUGAUCCAGCCAUGCCGCGUGUGUGAAGAAGGCCUUAUGGUUGUAAAGCACUUUAAGCGAGGAGGAGGCUACUGAGACUAAUACUCUUGGAUAGUGGACGUUACUCGCAGAAUAAGCACCGGCUAACUCUGUGCCAGCCGCCGCCGUAAAAC
rnacentral:rRNA from 1 species